UUAAGCGACUAAGCGUACACGGUGGAUGCCCUGGCAGUCAGAGGCGAUGAAGGACGUGCUAAUCUGCGAUAAGCGUCGGUAAGGUGAUAUGAACCGUUAUAACCGGCGAUUUCCGAAUGGGGAAACCCAGUGUGAUUCGUCACACUAUCAUUAACUGAAUCCAUAGGUUAAUGAGGCGAACCGGGGGAACUGAAACAUCUAAGUACCCCGAGGAAAAGAAAUCAACCGAGAUUCCCCCAGUAGCGGCGAGCGAACGGGGAGGAGCCCAGAGCCUGAAUCAGUAUGUGUGUUAGUGGAAGCGUCUGGAAAGGCGCGCGAUACAGGGUGACAGCCCCGUACACAAAAAUGCACAUGCUGUGAGCUCGAUGAGUAGGGCGGGACACGUGGUAUCCUGUCUGAAUAUGGGGGGACCAUCCUCCAAGGCUAAAUACUCCUGACUGACCGAUAGUGAACCAGUACCGUGAGGGAAAGGCGAAAAGAACCCCGGCGAGGGGAGUGAAAAAGAACCUGAAACCGUGUACGUACAAGCAGUGGGAGCACGCUUAGGCGUGUGACUGCGUACCUUUUGUAUAAUGGGUCAGCGACUUAUAUUCUGUAGCAAGGUUAACCGAAUAGGGGAGCCGAAGGGAAACCGAGUCUUAACUGGGCGUUAAGUUGCAGGGUAUAGACCCGAAACCCGGUGAUCUAGCCAUGGGCAGGUUGAAGGUUGGGUAACACUAACUGGAGGACCGAACCGACUAAUGUUGAAAAAUUAGCGGAUGACUUGUGGCUGGGGGUGAAAGGCCAAUCAAACCGGGAGAUAGCUGGUUCUCCCCGAAAGCUAUUUAGGUAGCGCCUCGUGAAUUCAUCUCCGGGGGUAGAGCACUGUUUCGGCAAGGGGGUCAUCCCGACUUACCAACCCGAUGCAAACUGCGAAUACCGGAGAAUGUUAUCACGGGAGACACACGGCGGGUGCUAACGUCCGUCGUGAAGAGGGAAACAACCCAGACCGCCAGCUAAGGUCCCAAAGUCAUGGUUAAGUGGGAAACGAUGUGGGAAGGCCCAGACAGCCAGGAUGUUGGCUUAGAAGCAGCCAUCAUUUAAAGAAAGCGUAAUAGCUCACUGGUCGAGUCGGCCUGCGCGGAAGAUGUAACGGGGCUAAACCAUGCACCGAAGCUGCGGCAGCGACGCUUAUGCGUUGUUGGGUAGGGGAGCGUUCUGUAAGCCUGUGAAGGUGUACUGUGAGGUAUGCUGGAGGUAUCAGAAGUGCGAAUGCUGACAUAAGUAACGAUAAAGCGGGUGAAAAGCCCGCUCGCCGGAAGACCAAGGGUUCCUGUCCAACGUUAAUCGGGGCAGGGUGAGUCGACCCCUAAGGCGAGGCCGAAAGGCGUAGUCGAUGGGAAACAGGUUAAUAUUCCUGUACUUGGUGUUACUGCGAAGGGGGGACGGAGAAGGCUAUGUUGGCCGGGCGACGGUUGUCCCGGUUUAAGCGUGUAGGCUGGUUUUCCAGGCAAAUCCGGAAAAUCAAGGCUGAGGCGUGAUGACGAGGCACUACGGUGCUGAAGCAACAAAUGCCCUGCUUCCAGGAAAAGCCUCUAAGCAUCAGGUAACAUCAAAUCGUACCCCAAACCGACACAGGUGGUCAGGUAGAGAAUACCAAGGCGCUUGAGAGAACUCGGGUGAAGGAACUAGGCAAAAUGGUGCCGUAACUUCGGGAGAAGGCACGCUGAUAUGUAGGUGAAGUCCCUCGCGGAUGGAGCUGAAAUCAGUCGAAGAUACCAGCUGGCUGCAACUGUUUAUUAAAAACACAGCACUGUGCAAACACGAAAGUGGACGUAUACGGUGUGACGCCUGCCCGGUGCCGGAAGGUUAAUUGAUGGGGUCAGCGCAAGCGAAGCUCUUGAUCGAAGCCCCGGUAAACGGCGGCCGUAACUAUAACGGUCCUAAGGUAGCGAAAUUCCUUGUCGGGUAAGUUCCGACCUGCACGAAUGGCGUAAUGAUGGCCAGGCUGUCUCCACCCGAGACUCAGUGAAAUUGAACUCGCUGUGAAGAUGCAGUGUACCCGCGGCAAGACGGAAAGACCCCGUGAACCUUUACUAUAGCUUGACACUGAACAUUGAGCCUUGAUGUGUAGGAUAGGUGGGAGGCUUUGAAGUGUGGACGCCAGUCUGCAUGGAGCCGACCUUGAAAUACCACCCUUUAAUGUUUGAUGUUCUAACGUUGACCCGUAAUCCGGGUUGCGGACAGUGUCUGGUGGGUAGUUUGACUGGGGCGGUCUCCUCCUAAAGAGUAACGGAGGAGCACGAAGGUUGGCUAAUCCUGGUCGGACAUCAGGAGGUUAGUGCAAUGGCAUAAGCCAGCUUGACUGCGAGCGUGACGGCGCGAGCAGGUGCGAAAGCAGGUCAUAGUGAUCCGGUGGUUCUGAAUGGAAGGGCCAUCGCUCAACGGAUAAAAGGUACUCCGGGGAUAACAGGCUGAUACCGCCCAAGAGUUCAUAUCGACGGCGGUGUUUGGCACCUCGAUGUCGGCUCAUCACAUCCUGGGGCUGAAGUAGGUCCCAAGGGUAUGGCUGUUCGCCAUUUAAAGUGGUACGCGAGCUGGGUUUAGAACGUCGUGAGACAGUUCGGUCCCUAUCUGCCGUGGGCGCUGGAGAACUGAGGGGGGCUGCUCCUAGUACGAGAGGACCGGAGUGGACGCAUCACUGGUGUUCGGGUUGUCAUGCCAAUGGCACUGCCCGGUAGCUAAAUGCGGAAGAGAUAAGUGCUGAAAGCAUCUAAGCACGAAACUUGCCCCGAGAUGAGUUCUCCCUGACUCCUUGAGAGUCCUGAAGGAACGUUGAAGACGACGACGUUGAUAGGCCGGGUGUGUAAGCGCAGCGAUGCGUUGAGCUAACCGGUACUAAUGAACCGUGAGGCUUAACCUU
rnacentral:rRNA from 1 species